rnacentral:rRNA from 1 species
UACGAAGGGGGCUAGCGUUGUUCGGAAUUACUGGGCGUAAAGCGUAUGCAGGCGGAUCGUUAAGUCAGGGGUGAAAUCCCGGGGCUCAACCUCGGAACUGCCUUUGAUACUGCAAAUCUCGAGUCCGGAAGAGGUGAGUGGAAUUCCUAGUGUAGAGGUGAAAUUCGUAGAUAUUAGGAAGAAACACCAGUGGCGAAGGCGGCUCACUGGUCCGGUACUGACGCUGAGGUGCGAAAAGCGUGGGGGAGCAAACAGGG